UACAGAGGGUGCUAGCGUUAAUCGGAUUUACUGGGCGUAAAGCGUGUGUAGGCGGUUUGUUAAGUCGGGUGUGAAAUCCCUGGGCUCAACCUGGGAAUUGCAUUCGAUACUGGCAAGCUAGAGUACGGUAGAGGGCGGCGGAAUUCCGGGUGUAGCGGUGAAAUGCGUAGAUAUCGGGAGGAACACCAGUGGCGAAGGCGGGCACCUGGGCUAACACUGACGCUGAUGCGCGAAAGCUAGGGGAGCAAACAGG
rnacentral:rRNA from 1 species